rnacentral:RNase_P_RNA from 1 species
GAGAGAGGAAGGACGACUACCGGGCCUUUGGCCUGAGGAAAGUCUCCCCAUCAUCCAGAUACACGAACACCUGUGAAGGGUGUCUGGCGAGAGCCAGGGCGCUGGCACAGAAACGAUACCACCCCAUGAUAAUGCAAUGAUACUGAAAGGUUGAGGUCGCAUGGAAAGUGGAUGGAACGGCGAAACCUCGUGGGUGCAAGUUGGAAGUAGGGAUUAAACGGGAUUCUGGACCGUCCCGAAGUUAUUAACGCUUAGCCGAAUGUCGUCAGUGCAAGAGUCCAUAAGGACCUUCCCUGCCCGCCCUGCGGAUAAGGAAUUUUGCACCAACAGAAGGGAGCUUACUCUCCUCACUC